CAUUCUUAGCAGAGGGCAGCUGGGGAUAAAUGGGGAUGUUGAUUCCUGAGAGGUGUUAUUACUCUGUGUGUGUGUGUGUGUGCGCGCGCAGUAAUGUACAGGAUCAUUGUGCUGGCUAGUUAUAUGUCAACUCAAUACAAGCUAAAAUCAGCUGAGAGGAGGAACCUCAAUUAAGAAAAUGCCUCCAUAAAAUCUGGCUCUAGGCAAGCCUGUAGGACAUUUUCAUAAUUGUGGCUGAUAUGGGAAGACCCAGCCCAUUGUGGGUGGGGCCAUCCCUGUGAUGGUGUUCCUGGGUUCUAUAAAACAGGCUAAGCAAGCCAUGGAGACCAAGGCAGUAAGCAGCAUCCCUCCGUGGUCUCUGCAUCAGCUCCUGCCUCCAGGUUUCUGCUCUAUUCGAGUUUCUUCCUAUCUUAAGUUCUUUUGGUGAAGAACUGUUAUAUAGAACUGUGAGCAAAAUAAAUCCUUUCUCCCCAAGUGGCUUUUGGUCAUGGUGUUGUAUCACAGCACCCUAACUAAGAUGGUCACUCUCUGGGAACAUGGCAAAUGGCAUUCCAUGGAGGAGGGAGAGCCAGGUGGGAGGAGAGCGCAGGACCACAUUCAAUCAAUGAACAGCAACGUAACCUGUGCAAGGACAGUUUAUCAGGAGUAUGUGCAGAGGCAUGUGGAAAUGGCUGGUGUAUGGGCCAGGUAAGUGAUGUAUUACAAGUUUAAUAGAAACAGCUGGGAAAAGAGGAGAAAUUUGGAGGAGUGUGUGCUUCUGAAAUGGUGAAUUAGCAUUUGUAGUUUAUACAGUCAUGAAAAUGAACCAAUACUUGGAAUUAGUGGGUAAACUAAACCCUUGGCUGCUUUGAUAAAAUUGUUUCCCUAAGUGAAAAGGAGGCCAUGUAGCCUCAUUUAUUUAAGUUUGACUGUAUAUAUAUAUAUGCUGAACUUAUUAUCAUGACUCAGGAGUGUCAGCCAGACUUGGUGGUGCACACCUGUAAUUCUAGCUCUUGGAGAUGGAGGCAGCAGGUCAGUAAUUCAGCCAAGGUCAUCCUUGGCUACCUAGCAAGAUCGAGGCUAGCCGAGGUUGUAUUAGACCUUUUUCAGAGAGAGAGAGAGAGGAAAAGAGAGAAGAG
rnacentral:lncRNA from 1 species